UAGCCUGGAAGUUUUCCAUCUUGCAGCAGUGCACCUCAGGAAGAUGACAGGUGCAAAGUCUGCCUUUCUGUAUGAAUUGGGAGAAUGGCCAUCAUGAGAGAGGAGAUGGGACGGCCCAACCAGCUUCAUGUCUUCCAUGGCUUGGCACCUUCUAAGGCCAACGUGACUCCCCCGUCACAAAACAGUCCUCAAGACAGAUGGGCUGCCAGCGUGCUGGGGUCUUCAUAGGGCAGAUCUCCACCAUGUCAUGCAGAGAUGCAGUGCUGUCUUCUGAUCAGGAAUUAUGCUCUUCCACGGCACUCUGGCUCAUUCCACAGUCAAUAAUGUUAAAUGGAGUGAAAAUGUAGGUCAGUGGAGCUAACUUGGAAGUCUCCAGGACAACUCUUCCUCCAAAUCCAUUGGAAAACAUGAAGCAACAGGCAGAAAUGCCAAGGAUUUGACUGCUAAAUACCAGAUAAGUAAGCUGCUCCCCCAAAAAGUCUUCAGCAUACUAAGCAAGUCGUUUACUGGAAGAAAUUUAAACCUUUUUUAAAGCAUGUUUCUCUUUUGCAUUCCUUCUUCAAGAAAUCCCAAAGCCCAACUCUAAAUGAAAUGCUGCAGCCAUCUGGGAACAAACAAAUUGUUUUCCAUGAGUAUGGAACUGGCCAGAUUAUGAAGGGUAGUAAUAGAUACAAGUGUACCAAACCUCCAGUUCCCAACCUAAAUUCAGAUAUGCCAGAGACAUGAAAUGUCAAAGAGAGACCAACAAGACUACAGUGCUUCAACUGACUCAUGCAUCCCCUGAGGCUUGGUUCUCACAAACUCUAAAAGCAGUUUAAAAUCCCUCAGAGUUGGUGGCAACAGUCCCAAAUUCAUAGCAAUGCCAAAAAUGGAUAACAAAAUAUUUAAAGAUAAAACUUCAUCAGAUAACCCAGAAUACAUUUCACCAUUGAGUCGUAUUUUGUUCUCCCAGUAUUGUUAGAUGAAAACGUAGCAGUUGUAUCUUAAUUGUUGAAUGAGAGUGAGCUGGGAAACAGCACUUGCCCUGCCACCCCUCAAGGUUAGGCUGCAGCGAUGCAGAUCCCCAGGAAGCAAGUGCAGCUGGGGUGGGCACCGUUGAGGUCUCGCCACUUCCAUCGGCAGCCACCAUUCCAUGUGCCCUUGAAGAAUCUGGGUACAAGAAAACUGAGAGCAGUACAGAUUCAUAAGACAACUCAAGUUGAGUCUGGUGGUCGAAGAUUGUUCUUUCACCUGUUCACGUGGAAUAAUUGUCUUUUUUCUUUCACCUUCAUGCUUGUGACCUAAUGGAAACAGACUGUAAAUGAUGGCAUGGCAUUCUGUGAAUCAGAGCUGCCCAUCACUUUCUUGUUAAGCUCCCUUGCUCUAUUGUUUCCCACCCUUUGGCAUGUUCCCUCUCCCACUGAGUGCACUUCAGCAUGGCUGGUGAUUAUUUUCUUAUUGCCCAUUGUUAAAGACACCUAUGGAGAAGGCUGUGGCCUCUGACGGAAAUGUGCUAGUGAAUCCAAGGUGGGUACUAGCUGUGUAGUCAUUGUCUGGGUGAGUUUCAAAAUGAGGCAGGGUCAUGUCCACCCUCAGCACAAGCAGUCUGUUCUCUGCCGGGAUGCUGCCUCCUGUAUCUACUCUGCCUCACCAAUAACCCAAUGUCCUAUUCUUGACCAAGGCACCUUGGUGAGAAUGGCAGCUCCUGUCCCUGCAGUCCCGAGUGCUACUCCGCUGUUCAUACUUGUGUUCUCAGACGUCUAGGGUUUUUUAUGGCGGCCCUGCCUUUGUUUGCCUCCACCACUCAGAUUUGCUUCUGAAGUGUCCUACUGCCACCCAGCUCCACACACAGUGAAGUCAGGGGGCAAGAGUGGGAGCUCCGCAGUCAUGCAGUGUUUUGUUCCUGGCCUUUCCCACUCAAGAGUCUUUGCUUCAAAGCUGUGUUUAAUGCAAGUUCAAGUCUCAGAGCCACCUAAGAGAAGACUGAACCCGGCCACCUAGGAAGAAACUGUUUUCAUCCACAUGUUAACUUGUGGGGGAUUUGAAGGCAUGCAAAGAGGCAGGCUCAUUUUGGAGAGGAGAUGGUGAAGCAGGAGGGAGCCAUUCACCCAGAGGAAGAAAGUGAAAUAAGGGGACUGGAAACAGCUGAGGACAUCCACAGUUAAGCACAUCUCUCUAUAAAUAGCAGUUGGGGCUGCCCUAGAGAGAGAGGUGAGAGGAUAGGAAGAGAGGGCAGGAAGCAUUGGCCAAGGACACUUGUGGGCUAUAAAAGCCUCUUGCAUGAAAGAUGGGCCAGUUGGGACUUUCAUAUUAUCUGUGAGUAAUAAAAAGGUUGACAAAAAGAUCAUUAUUACCCAAAACUCAAGUAUCAGCAGGGUGGGCUGAAAUCAAUAGGGCCAUAGUUGUGAAUAAGAUGUGUAGCAAUCUGUACUUGGGAAAUGCAUUUUUUAAAAACCACUUAUAAACUGAUCUUCCAU
rnacentral:lncRNA from 10 species